rnacentral:rRNA from 1 species
CUACGGGAGGCAGCAGUGGGGAAUAUUGCACAAUGGGCGCAAGCCUGAUGCAGCCAUGCCGCGUGUAUGAAGAAGGCCUUCGGGUUGUAAAGUACUUUCAGCGGGGAGGAAGGGAGUAAAGUUAAUACCUUUGCUCAUUGACGUUACCCGCAGAAGAAGCACCGGCUAACUCCGUGCCAGCAGCCGCGGUAAUACGGAGGGUGCAAGCGUUAAUCGGAAUUACUGGGCGUAAAGCGCACGCAGGCGGUUUGUUAAGUCAGAUGUGAAAUCCCCGGGCUCAACCGGGGAACUGCAUCUGAUACUGGCAAGCUUGAGUCUCGUAGAGGGGGGUAGAAGUCCAGGUGUAGCGGUGAAAUGCGUAGAGAUCUGGAGGAAUACCGGUGGCGAAGGCGGCCCCCUGGACGAAGACUGACGCUCAGGUGCGAAAGCGUGGGGAGCAAACAGGAUUAGAUACCCGGGUAGUC